UAUAGUCCACAAGGCGAGUGAUUGAACUCAUUUAUUACCUAGUUAUAUUUUGUAAACAGUAAGCCAUACGUCAUUUCUUGAAUGAUAGGUGUUAAACUUAAUAUGUCUCACGUUGUGUUAUUUAACACACGCAAAGUGUUCGAAAAAAAAACGGAAACACAUAUUUUAUUAACAUUUUAAAAACAACAAUAUGUUUUUAUACGUAUUAUGUGUGAUAAGUCUUUACACACAGUCAAUGACAAUUGUGAUAUAUCAAUUUUGCAGAAUGUAAUUACAACGACAACGUUAUUUAUGAAGUCAUCCCAGACGACGAUACAGAGCGUGAGGCCAAACCAAUGUACGAGCUCUACUCGGAUCCUGAGAGAAGCUCGACAAAUGGAUGCACCGACUCACUCAGCUACGACGGAAGAAACUGGAAGGGGAGGCGCUAUCUUGACUAGACUUUGCAGGGAGGCUGUCAGUGAGCCAUUGAUAUCCCAGUUACCUGCCGACAACAUAUGGAUGAUGGUGUGGAAGUUUUUGUGUUAAUGGCUUUUACUAAUGUACAUUGGUCAAAGCACAUGUUGUCAGUCGGUAAUUUGUAUGUAACAAACCUGCAGGUAUAGGAAUUCAUUGUUUUUAGCAUCAUAUUUUGCAAAUAAAUGAACGCUGUUAAGGAAUUCUUAUUUUGCAAAAUUGUCAUCAAAUAGAUGAAAAUAAUCCAAUGGCGCCGCGUUUUGAGAAAAGAGGGUUAAAUGCAUGUGUGUAAGGUGUUGUCCCUGAUUAGCCUGUGUAAACUGCACAGGCUUAUCUAUGAUGACACUUUAGGCACAUCCAUAAGCACUGUUUACCCAGUGGGCAAAUCUUAAUAUGCCAUUGACCUGUGGACAGGUUGUUUUGUGUUAAUGGAAUUUACUUAUGUGACUUUAUGUAGUAUUGUUAUGUACAUGAUUUAAAUCUUGUCACGUAAUCAACAAGCCAUUCUUAGACUCAAGAAUAAAGACAAGUCAAUCUAAACACCUCAUGGUUUGCAAAUAUACAUGCUAAAAUUAUACCAUUAACAAAUUGUUAUAAAUGAAAAAUAAAUAAAUUAAAAGUGUUA